ensembl:snRNA U1 U1 spliceosomal RNA
ACUCAUACCCUGCAGGGAAAAUGCCAUGUCAUAAGAGUGGUUUUUCCAGGGGGAGGCUCAUCCAUUGCACUUUGGGUGUGCUGCUGAUUCCUCUGAUUUCCCCAAAGGUGGGAAACUCAACUGCAUAAUUUGUAUUAAUGGAAGAUUAUAUUUGUGAUUUUCCU